ACGUUAUAACACGUUACUGCUGCUGUGUGUUUAAAAUACGACUAUUUCGACAAUAGAAAAAAAAAUAGUAAUACUUGUCUUGUAUAAUAAAUAAAAAAUAUAUUGAAAUCAUGAAUAUUUAACUGGACUACCUACCGCAGAAAAUAAUUAUCGGAGAUAUGGAACUUAGAUGUAUAUUCGUGUUUUCGUUAUGGAUCACAACAGCCUGUUCAUUGUACAAAAUUGGUAUCGGAAUUGCAGAUGUAACUGGACCUGCAGUAGGUGUUACUUUUUUGGGGUACGGAAAAGUGGAACAAACUGGAGAAGGAAUUCAUUUGCGACAAUUUUCUAGGGCAUUUUUAAUUGAAGAUUCAACAUCUAGGACAGCGUUUGUCAGCAUCGACUCUGCGAUGAUGGGAGACCAUAUAAAGAAAGAUGUACUGAAAAAAUUGAACGAGAAGUUACCAGGAUUGUACGACACGAAUAACCUUAUGCUUUCGUCUACGCACACACACUCUACGCCGGGAGGUUAUAUGUUACAUAUGCUGUUUGACUUGAGCACAAUGGGUUAUGUUCAACAAACCUUAAACUGUUUAGUAAAAGGUAUUACAUUGAGUAUUCUACGAGCCCACGACAAAUUAGAUUACGGACGUAUAUUUAUUAAUAAAGGUGAACUAAAUGGGAUAUCGAUGAGUAGAAGUCCUCAGUCAUAUUUAUUAAAUCCGGAAGCCGAACGCGCGCAAUACGAACAUAACGUCGACAAGACCAUGGUACAGCUGAGGUUUGAGAGCGAGUCGGGCAUGCCGCUGGGCGUGAUCAACUGGUACGCGGUGCAUGCGACCAGCAUGAACAACACCAACAGGCUCGUUUCGUCGGACAACGUCGGAUACGCAUCGGUGUUGUUCGAGCAAAAGAUGAACCCCGAAAGUUUCAUCGGUAAAGGACGUUUUGUCGCGGCGUUCGCUUCGUCCAACCUGGGAGACGUGACUCCCAAUAUCAAAGGUCCUCGAUGCCAGAAAUCGGGAAAACCUUGCGAUAUUCCCGGGCCUUCGUGUGACGCAAACGAACUGUGCGUGGCAUCCGGACCGGGCGACGACAUGAAAGAGAGCACUAGAAUAAUCGCUCAACAACUGUUCGACAGAGCAUAUGAACUGAUGGUCGGAGAACCUAUCACUGAGAUCAAAGGACCGAUUAAUGCGAUACACCAGUUCGUGGACAUGACCACGGAAGAAGUAGAUUAUACGACGCCCGGAGGACAGACGAUCAAAGGAAAGGGGUGUAAGCCUGCGAUGGGUCAUACGUUUUCAUCGGGUACCAUCGACGGACCAGGUUUGUUCUCGUUUGAAGCCGGCUCCAAAUCUUCGAACAAUCCCCUAUGGGAUAUAGUGACGAAUUUCGUGCCCAAGCCUAGUCCAGAACAAGUUAAAUGCCACGCGGAAAAAUCAAUUUUGAUAUCGACCGGAGAAUUUAAUUAUCCACUGGCUUGGUCACCGAAAAUAGUUUCCACUCAAUUAGCAGUUAUCGGACAAUUGGUCAUAGCUUGUGUCCCGGGCGAGUUUACAACUAUGUCGGGGAGACGCGUGAGAAAAGCUAUUCGCGAUGUCCUUUGCAAAAACUCUUGGUGUACUGUAGUAAUCGCGGGACUUUGCAAUACAUAUAGUGAUUACAUAACUACACCCGAAGAAUACAAGCUACAGCGUUAUGAAGGUGCGUCAACGUUGUUCGGGCCUUACACAUUGCCUAUUUACCUGAAGCAAUACUCAAAACUGGCCAAGGCGUUGUUGAGUGGUGACAAAAAAUUGGGCCCCGGGCCUGAACCGGUCGACCUGAGACCCGAUGUGUGGUCGCUACUGCCGUCUCCUAUGUACGACACUCCAACGUCUCGACACAGCUUUGGAGACUGUAUCGAACAACCACCGUACUCGGCCAGGUGGGGUCAAACGGUUAAAGCGAAAUUUGUUUCCGGCAAUCCUCGAAACAACCCCAUGUUGGAAAUGACGUUUUUGACAGUUGAACGGCUCACGGACGAUUUCAAAUGGGACGUCGUCGCUACGGACGCCAAUUGGGAAACCGAAUUCAUAUGGAAAACAGUUUCGUGGUUUUGGGCCAGCAGCGUUGCAGAAAUUAAAUGGACAAUACCUGAAAACACUACACCAGGGCUUUACCGCAUUAGACACUUUGGGUAUUUCAAAAAUUUUGGAGGGGGCAGGCUCGGAAGAUAUUUUGGCACUUCGGAAACGUUCAAGGUUACGGAAAAAUAGUGCAAACGCAAGAAGGUUUCCUAUAUUCCAAUAAAUUAUUGAAUUUGGUUCAACGACAGUUUGGAUUUAGAAAAUAUUAUAAGAGAACAUUAUGGAACUAUCAAUGGACAGUUUUGUAUCUACGUGACUAAAGUAAUCUAAAAAAAGCUAUAAACGCUCACCAAGCUUGUUAAAAUUGAAUAAAUGAUUAAAACUGGUAUUAUAUUUUUGUUGGUCAUACGCAACCAUAAAAUAGCGAAAUCCUAUGCGUUAUACUUGGCAGUCCAAUUCGCCAUCCAAUCAGACUACAAUUAUACUCUCAUAAUAAGCGACUCUCUCAGUGCCCUGGUCUCACUACAAGAUCAUCACCCUCAAAAUGAAGUAAUCCAAUUAACCAAUGACCUCAUUUCUUCAUCGAAAAACAAUAUUAAGUUUAUGUGGGUCCCUUCUCACAUAGGUAUCCCCGGGAAUGAAAAAUCUGACCAAAUGGCGAAUGCAGCGGUUACAUCCACAACCUCAUAAAUAAAAUCCCAAAUAGAGAUCUUACAAAUGAAGCCCAAAACGGAUUAUAAAAAAAAACAUGGCGAAAUCACUGGGAUUCAAUUCCCGUCAGCAAAAAUCUCAGAAACAUCAAAAAAACUAUGUCCAAAUGGGCAUAUCCUGAGAACGCAACCAGGAAAAAACAAAUAAUUAUAAACGGAGCCAGAUUAGGUCAUUCCCAUAUCACUCACUCAUAUUUGAUAGCCAAGGAGUCCUCCUCCCUCGUGUGACACAUGUAAAACUUCCCUUACAAUGAAACACAUCAUUAUGAUUUGCCCCAAAUACUCAACCGCACGUUGUCUUCUCAAUAAUUCAAGGUCACUUGAAAAAGCCCUCAGUCAACAUAAUUCCGUCAACAUUUUUAAAUUUUUCAAAAAAAUAGAUUUAGAUACAAAACUGUAAAUAUUACAAUUUUUACAUUGUACCCCUACAAUUAUAAGAUAAUGUCUU
rnacentral:misc_RNA from 1 species